CCCUUAGAUGUUCUGGGCCGCACGCGCGCUACAAUGAUUGUCUCAGCAUGUUUUGGGUGUGUAAAUACUCAGGAAUCCCGAGUAACAAUCGUGAUGGGGCUAGACCCUUGCAAUUUUUGGUCUCCAACGAGGAAUUCCUAGUAAAGGCAGGUCAUUAACCUGCCUUGAUUACGUCCCUGCCCUUUGUACACACCGCCCGUCGCACCUACCGAUUGAAUGGUCCGGUGAAAUCUCCAGACGUGGUUUUACCAUGAAAGCUGAUUGAACCUUAUCAUUUAGAGGAAGGUGAAGUCGUAACA
rnacentral:rRNA from 1 species